GACGAACGCUGGCGGCGUGCUUAACACAUGCAAGUCGAGCGGUAAGGCCCUUUCGGGGGUACACGAGCGGCGAACGGGUGAGUAACACGUGGGUGACCUGCCCUCAGCUCUGGGAUAACGCCUGGGAAACCGGGUCUAAUACUGGAUAUGACUCCAUGACGCAUGUUGUGGGGUGGAAAGCCUUGUGCGGCUGAGGAUGGGCCCGCGGCCUAUCAGCUUGUUGGUGGGGUGANGGCCUACCAAGGCGACGACGGGUAGCCGGCCUGAGAGGGCGACCGGCCACACUGGGACUGAGACACGGCCCAGACUCCUACGGGAGGCAGCAGUGGGGAAUAUUGGACAAUGGGCGAAAGCCUGAUCCAGCCAUGCCGCGUGUGUGAAGAAGGUCUUCGGAUUGUAAAGCUAAC
rnacentral:rRNA from 1 species